rnacentral:rRNA from 1 species
GCGCGCUUAACACAUGCAAGUCGAGCCGAUAACCAUGGCUUCGGCCAUGGGGAGAGCGGCGAACGGGUGAGUAACACGUGAGCGAUCUGCCCUCGACACUGGGAUAGCCCGGGGAAACCCGGAUUAAUACCGGAUAGCCUCUCGGGCCCACGGGCUCGUGAGAAAAGAUGGCUUCGGCUUUCGGUUGAGGAGGAGCUUGCGGCGGAUUAGCUUGUUGGUGAGGUAACGGCUCACCAAGGCGACGAUCCGUAGCUGGUCUGAGAGGACGAUCAGCCACACUGGGACUGAGACACGGCCCAGACUCCUACGGGAGGCAGCAGUGGGGAAUCUUGCGCAAUGGGCGAAAGCCUGACGCAGCGACGCCGCGUGAGGGAAGAAGGCCUUCGGGUUGUAAACCUCUUUCAGGAGGGACGAAGCUACUCGGGUUAAUAGCCCAGAGGGUGACGGUACCUCCAGAAGAAGCCCCGGCUAACUACGUGCCAGCAGCCGCGGUAAUACGUAGGGGGCAAGCGUUGUCCGGAAUUAUUGGGCGUAAAGCGCGUGUAGGCGGCCAGAUAAGU